AACCCAAUGGAGCUAGGGUUUG
rnacentral:snRNA from 1 species